UUUUAAAGCCCAGUAUCUAGCACCUGAAGAAUAUUUUGCUAAAGUGCUACCUAUUUUCUAUAAUAUACCUAGGUUUAAUGUCCAGUACAUGAUAUUAUUUUAAUGCUGCAUUGUGGCUGGGCAGGCUUGGAUAUAUAUCAUUAAAAGUCUCUUCUUGUGUUCAUCUGCAUUGCUCUCUGAAGCAGGGUAUUUUUUAGAAACAGAAAGGGACUUUCCACGUGACGUUUGAACAUUUCCGGCUGUAUGUGAUGUCUGACACUGACUGACUCGAGAAAGGCUUCAAGACACUCAUCUCUUCUUUCGCAGCAUCACCACCAACAGACUGAAAUCAAAUCCUGUCGUGAACGUGUCUGUAAGAAUCAGACAGGAGCCUCCUCUUCUGAAGAUGAAACGAGAGCCGCUGCACAAAUCUGUCGUAAAAUAAUCAAAUAAACAGCGUUUAAGUGAAGCAACAUGAGUUUUGAUCAUUCCUCCACCAUGUCCCAGCCUUUAGUAGAAGUUUGUCUUGAAUGGAUAUCGUGGAUGGAUAUCAGGCUCUGAUCUAUGAUUAUAACAUCAGGGAUAUACUGGUUUGGAGAAACUUAACUGUGAAUAAAUAACAGCAGGAUUCAGUGCUCACACAGUAUGAAUAACACUAACUUUGGAGAUUAUUCACGCACAGCUAUAUAUUUUACUAUCUAGUGUGUGACUGCCGCCUCAUUCUGGAUGGUUUCUGGACAUGGAUGCGGUCACGAGUCAUCUUCACUCAGGGACAGGAUUGAGACGAACUCCAGAAGCGAGGAGCUGUGUUUGACUGAUUUAUGUGGGAUGUGUUGGAGAGACCUUAAAGUUGUCUUCUGUCUCUGGUUUACUCUGUUUCUGGUGUGUUUUCCUGAUCGAGCUGAGUGGGCGUGGCAACACAUGCUCGGCAGGAAGCGUUUCUGCGUCAUGCUUUGAUUUAUCUGUUCUCUUUUUAUUGAUGUUACAGUAUUGAUCUGCUUAAACCCUUGUUUUUGUUUGCUAAAUUUAAAUUUCUAAAUCGUGUUGUAAGUCAGGAGUUGAAAAAAAUGGCCUUAUUACAGAAAGAGCGGGAAAUUGUGAAUUUAAGGGAGAGGUGUAGUAAAACUAUCGAGGGCUUUAAAGAUAAGGAGUUAAAAUGAUUUGUGCACUGCUAUAGAUGAUGAUCUAUUUUUCUCAACCUGCAUUAAAUAUUAGGGUUUAUUUAUUAAAAUUGUUCAAUCAAGUAGCUUUAAAAGAAUCUGAAUUCUUUCUUAAUGCCCAUUUUAUCAAUUGAAUAACCUAGAAUAUUUAUAGCAUACUUGAUUGUCCCAUAUUAGUCAAAAAAAUCUGCCACAUGUUUGAAACGUCAUUUUAUAAAAACUGGGACGACAAAAAUUACUU